UUGAUCUGAAAUCAGGUGGGAUUACCC
rnacentral:rRNA from 2 species